UUUGCUGUUUGGAACUCCAAGCCUUGCGUCAGUAGUAUAAUAAAAAAUAAAAUUAGCAAAAGAUUCAAGAUCAAGCUCUUUGUACAAAUGGCCAUCGAAUUGAAUCCCAUUCUCAGGGGUGCUCAUAAAGUCAUAAGAUGACAUAACUUGCACUGGAAUCAAUGGCUUCAAACACACAAAUCCCCCGCCCUUAUCUUUUCAGAAAGAGAGAGGAGAGGGACCCUAUAUGUAGUUGCAAAGGGCAUCUUAG
rnacentral:misc_RNA from 1 species